UACGAAGGGGGCUAGCGUUGCUCGGAAUUACUGGGCGUAAAGGGAGCGUAGGCGGAUCGUUAAGUUAGAGGUAGAAAGGCCCAGGGCUCAACCCUGGAAUUGCCUUUGAUACUGGCGAUCUUGAGUAUGGGAGAGGUAAGCGGAACGUCCGAGUGUAGAGGUGAAAUUCGAUAGAUAUUCGGAAGAACACCAGUGGCGAAGGCGGCUUACUGGCC
rnacentral:rRNA from 1 species